rnacentral:rRNA from 1 species
UACGUAGGGUGCAAGCGUUAAUCGGAAUUACUGGGCGUAAAGCGUGCGCAGGCGGUUCGGAAAGAAAGAUGUGAAAUCCCAGAGCUUAACUUUGGAACUGCAUUUUUAACUACCGAGCUAGAGUGUGUCAGAGGGAGGUGGAAUUCCGCGUGUAGCAGUGAAAUGCGUAGAUAUGCGGAGGAACACCGAUGGCGAAGGCAGCCUC